AUUUCAGGGUGCUUGCAUGGAGAGAGAGGGAGAGAGCAUGGGCAAAUGAUUGAGAUUGCCCCAAUGUGAAAAACACUUUGAAAAUGCUGAUGAUUGACCUCUCAUUGAGGAGAGAGGGAAGAAGGACGAACGAAAAUGAGGUUUUCUCUGAUGGCAAGUCAAUUUAAGAGAACCCUCUGAUCAAUGAGUGUGCUUGGUUAAGAAUUUUCAUGUUUCUAAAAUGGGCCGGAGAACUGUCUUUUUCUUAAGCAAAC
rnacentral:lncRNA from 1 species